rnacentral:rRNA from 1 species
UACGGAGAGGGCUAGCGUUAUUCGGAAUCAUUGGGCGUAAAGGGCGCGUAGGCGGGUUAGUAAGUUAAAAGUGAAAUCCCAAGGCUCAACCUUGGAACUGCUUUUAAAACUGCUAGUCUAGAGAUUGAAAGAGGAUAGAGGAAUUCCUAGUGUAGAGGUGAAAUUCGUAAAUAUUAGGAGGAACACCAGUGGCGAAGGCGUCUAUCUGGUUCAAAUCUGACGCUGAGGCGCGAAGGCGUGGGGAGCAAACAGGG